rnacentral:rRNA from 1 species
AUUGAACGCUGGCGGCAUGCUUUACACAUGCAAGUCGAACGGUAACAGGGAGCUUGCUCCGCUGACGAGUGGCGAACAGGUGAGUAAUGCGUCGGAACGUGCCGAGUAGUGGGGGAUAACGCAUCGAAAGGUGUGCUAAUACCGCAUACGUACUGAGGUAGAAAGUGGGGGACCUUCGGGCCUCACGCUAUUCGAGCGGCCGACGUCUGAUUAGCUAGUUGGUGAGGUAAAGGCUCACCAAGGCGACGAUCAGUAGCGGGUCUGAGAGGAUGAUCCGCCACACUGGGACUGAGACACGGCCCAGACUCCUACGGGAGGCAGCAGUGGGGAAUUUUGGACAAUGGGCGCAAGCCUGAUCCAGCCAUGCCGCGUGUCUGAAGAAGACCUUCGGGUUGUAAAGGACUUUUGUCCGGGAGCAAAUGCUGGUGGCUAACAUCCACCGGAGCUGAGAGUACCGGAAGAAUAAGCACCGGCUAACUACGUGCCAGCCGCCGCAGUAAGAC